CACGAAGGGGGCUAGCGUUGCUCGGAAUCACUGGGCGUAAAGGGUGCGUAGGCGGGUCUUUAAGUCAGGGGUGAAAUCCUGGAGCUCAACUCCAGAACUGCCUUUGAUACUGAAGAUCUUGAGUUCGGGAGAGGUGAGUGGAACUGCGAGUGUAGAGGUGAAAUUCGUAGAUAUUCGCAAGAACACCAGUGGCGAAGGCGGCUCACUGGUCCGGUACUGACGCUGAGGUGCGAAAGCGUGGGGAGCAAACAGG
rnacentral:rRNA from 1 species